UGUUACCACAUUUAAACUUUAAAUAUAUUGUACUUAAAUAGAGUAAAUAUACACGAAUUGUAUGUAUUUAAACCGU
rnacentral:tRNA from 1 species